rnacentral:siRNA from 1 species
AGUUAGGGAGAUUUGCAAAACUAC